UACGGGGGGGGCAAGCGUUGUUCGGAAUUACUGGGCGUAAAGGGUUCGUAGGCGGCCAACUAAGUCAUACGUGAAAUCCCUCAGCUUAACUGGGGAACUGCGUCUGAUACUGGUUGGCUUGAGUGCAGGAGAGGAACGCGGAAUUCCAGGUGUAGCGGUGAAAUGCGUAGAUAUCUGGAGGAACACCGGUGGCGAAGGCGGCGUUCUGGACUGCAACUGACGCUGAGGAACGAAAGCCAGGGGAGCAAACGGG
rnacentral:rRNA from 1 species